rnacentral:rRNA from 1 species
GACGUAGGGGACGAGCGUUGUCCGGAUUCAUUGGGCGUAAAGCGCGUGUAGGCGGUCCGGUAAGUCCGCUGUGAAAGUCGGGGGCUCAACCCUCGGAUGCCGGUGGAUACUGUCGGGCUUGAGUACGGAAGAGGCGAGUGGAAUUCCUGGUGUAGCGGUGAAAUGCGCAGAUAUCAGGAGGAACACCAAUUGCGAAGGCAGCUCGCUGGGACGUUACUGACGCUGAGACGCGAAAGCGUGGGGAGCAAACAGG